rnacentral:rRNA from 1 species
UCACGUUAGACGUAUGCCGAACGUCGUAGCGGCAGCACUAGGGAGUUUACUCCUGAGGUGGCGAGCGGCGGACGGGUGAGUAAUGCCUAGGGAUCUGCCCAGUCGUGGGGGAUAACAGUUGGAAACGACUGCUAAUACCGCAUACGCCCUACGGGGGAAAGGAGGGGACCUUCGGGCCUUCCGCGAUUGGAUGAACCUAGGUGGGAUUAGCUAGUUGGUGAGGUAAUGGCUCACCAAGGCGACGAUCCCUAGCUGUUCUGAGAGGAUGAUCAGCCACACUGGGACUGAGACACGGCCCAGACUCCUACGGGAGGCAGCAGUGGGGAAUAUUGCACAAUGGGGGAAACCCUGAUGCAGCCAUGCCGCGUGUGUGAAGAAGGCCUUCGGGUUGUAAAGCACUUUCAGUAGGGAGGA